UACGGGAGGCAGCAGUGAGGAAUAUUGGUCAAUGGGCGCGAGCCUGAACCAGCCAAGUAGCGUGCAGGAUGACGGCCCUAUGGGUUGUAAACUGCUUUUAUACAGGGAUAAAGUGCACUACGUGUAGUGUUUUGUAGGUACUGUAUGAAUAAGGACCGGCUAAUUCCGUGCCAGCAGCCGCGGUAAU
rnacentral:rRNA from 1 species